CCUACGGGAGGCAGCAGUGAGGAAUAUUGGUCAAUGGACGCAAGUCUGAACCAGCCAUGCCGCGUGCAGGAAGACGGUGCUAUGCAUUGUAAACUGCUUUUAUACGGGAGUAAUUACAGAUACGUGUAUCUGGAGGAAAUUACCGUAUGAAUAACGAUCGGCUAACUCCGUGCCAGCAGCCGCGGUAAUACGGAGGGUCCGAGCGUUAUCCGGAUUUAUUGGGUUUAAAGGGUGCUUAGGCGGUAAGGUAAGUUAGAGGUGAAAGCUCGAUGCUCAACAUCGAAACUGCCUCUGAUACUGGUUGACUAGAGUGUAGGUGAGGAAGGCGGAAUGUGUGGUGUAGCGGUGAAAUGCUUAGAUAGCACACAGAACACCGAUUGCGAAGGCAGCUUACCAAGCUAUUACUGACGCUGAGGCACGAAAGCGUGGGGAGCGAACAGGAUUAGAUACCCUAGUAGUC
rnacentral:rRNA from 1 species